rnacentral:rRNA from 1 species
AGAGUUUGAUCAUGGCUCAGGACGAACGCUGGCGGCGUGCCUAACACAUGCAAGUCGAACGGUCUAAUGUUCAACACUGAAUGUUUACUACAGAGAACUUGGUAAAGCCGCGGACGCGACCGAAAGAGAGCGUCGAAGCGACAAACAAAGUGCCAACACAAGGUUGGGAAGUAGUAGUGAAAAAGAAUGUUUACUACAGAGAACUUGGUAAAGCCGCGGAUGCGACCAAUGAAGUGCCAACACCGAGGGCGAAGUUGGAAAGAAGUAGAGGAACAUUGAGUGUUGGACAUUAGAUAGUGGCGGACGGGUGAGUAACGCGUGGGUAACCUACCCAUAAGUGGGGGAUAACAGUUGGAAACGACUGCUAAUACCGCAUAAGCUGCGCAAGCAGUAAAGGAGGCCUCUGAAAAUGCUUCCGCUUAUGGAUGGGCCCGCGUCUGAUUAGCUAGUUGGGAGGGCAACGGCCUACCAAGGCAACGAUCAGUAGCCCGGCCUGAAAGGUUGAACCGGCACCCUGGGGACUGAGACACGGCCCCNUACUCCUACGGGAGGGCAUCAGUGGGGGAAUAUUGCGCAAUUGGGGGAAACCCUGACGCAGACGACCCCCCGGGAGGGAUGAAAGCC